GGAGGCUAUGAAACCGGAACGCUAGUUUCGGUGGAGCCGUCCUUGAAAUACCACCCUGGUUUGUUUGAGGUUCUAACCUUGGCCCGUGAUCCGGGUCGGGGACAGUGCAUGGUAGGCAGUUUGACUGGGGCGGUCUCCUCCCAAAGCGUAACGGAGGAGUACGAAGGUACGCUAGGUACGGUCGGAAAUCGUGCUGAUAGUGCAAUGGCAUAAGCGUGCUUAACUGCGAGACCGACAAGUCGAGCAGGUGCGAAAGCAGGUCAUAGUGAUCCGGUGGUUCUGUAUGGAAGGGCCAUCGCUCAACGGAUAAAAGGUACUCUGGGGAUAACAGGCUGAUACCGCCCAAGAGUUCAUAUCGACGGCGGUGUUUGGCACCUCGAUGUCGGCUCAUCUCAUCCUGGGGCUGUAGCCGGUCCCAAGGGUAUGGCUGUUCGCCAUUUAAAGAGGUACGUGAGCUGGGUUUAAAACGUCGUGAGACAGUUUGGUCCCUAUCUGCCGUGGGCGUUGGAUAUUUGAAGGGGGCUGCUCCUAGUACGAGAGGACCGGAGUGGACGAACCUCUGGUGUACCGGUUGUCACGCCAGUGGCAUCGCCGGGUAGCUAUGUUCGGAAGAGAUAACCGCUGAAAGCAUCUAAGCGGGAAACUCGCCUUAAGAUGAGAUAUCCCUGGGGACUAGAUCCCCUUGAAGGGUCGUUCGAGACCAGGACGUUGAUAGGUCAGGUGUGUAAGCGCAGUAAUGCGUUCAGCUAACUGAUACUAAUUGCCCGUAAGGCUUGAUCCUAUAACA
rnacentral:rRNA from 1 species